rnacentral:rRNA from 1 species
GCGUCUCUGGUCGCAGGCCAGGGCGCAAACCAAACCUCUGUGAACAUGGCGUCGCCGUCGCGGCGCCGAACCUUUACACCUGUCGUCCUAUGUCCAGAAAGCAUAACAAAAGAGUACAACUCUCAACGAUGGAUCUCUUGGCUCUCGCAUCGAUGAAGAACGCAGCGAAUCGCGAUACGUAAUGUGAAUUGCAGAAUUCAGUGAAUCAUCGAAUCUUUGAACGCACCUUGCACCCUCUGGUAUUCCGGAGGGUAUGCCUGUCUGAGUGUCUAUGUCAAUCAUCAUCCCGACGGGUUCUGCCCGGCGGGGUUGGAGUUGGGCGCUGCCAUCCGUGGCUCGCCUCAAAUGCAUCGGUGGCACACCUUUGCCCGCACUGGCGUAAUACGUUUCGUCACGACCGGGACAAGGGGCCUCCUUGAAACCGCCUGCUUGCAGGAAGCACGAUUGACCUCAGAUCAGGUAGGACUACCCGCUGAACUUAAGCAUAUCAAUA